UCGCCAACAUUCUUCUCCCCUGC
rnacentral:siRNA from 1 species